UCCCUGAUAGCUCAGCGGUAGAGCAACCGGCUGUUAACCGGUAGGUCGUUGGUUCGAAUCCAACUCGGGGAGCCA
rnacentral:tRNA from 1 species